rnacentral:rRNA from 1 species
AACGAACGCUGGCGGCAGGCCUAACACAUGCAAGUCGAACGCCCUAGCAAUAGGGAGUGGCGCACGGGUGCGUAACGCGUGGGAAUAUGCCCUUCACUGCGGAAUAACGUUUGGAAACGAACGCUAAUACCGCAUAAUGACUCCGGUCCAAAGAUUUAUCGGUGAAGGAUUAGCCCGCGUUAGAUUAGCUAGUUGGUGAGGUAAUGGCUCACCAAGGCGACGAUCUAUAGCUGGUCUGAGAGGAUGAUCAGCCACACUGGGACUGAGACACGGCCCAGACUCCUACGGGAGGCAGCAGUGAGGAAUAUUGGACAAUGGGCGCAAGCCUGAUCCAGCCAUGCCGCGUGAGUGAAGAAGGCCUUCGGGUUGUAAAGCUCUUUCAGAUGUGAAGAUAAUGACGGUAGCAUCAGAAGAAGCCCGGCUAAUCGUGCCAGCAGCCGCGGUAAU